rnacentral:rRNA from 1 species
GAUGAACGCUGGCGGCGUGCCUAAUACAUGCAAGUCGAGCGAACAGACGAGGAGCUUGCUCCUCUGACGUUAGCGGCGGACGGGUGAGUAACACGUGGAUAACCUACCUAUAAGACUGGGAUAACUUCGGGAAACCGGAGCUAAUACCGGAUAAUAUAUUGAACCGCAUGGUUCAAUAGUGAAAUACGGUUUUGCUGUCACUUAUAGCUGGAUCCGCGCCGCAUUAGCUAGUUGGUAAGGUAACGGCUUACCAAGGCGACGAUGCGUAGCCGACCUGAGAGGGUGAUAGGCCACACUGGAACUGAGACACGGUCCAGACUCCUACGGGAGGCAGCAGUAGGGAAUCUUCCGCAAUGGGCGAAAGCCUGACGGAGCAACGCCGCGUGAGUGAUGAAGGUCUUCGGAUCGUAAAACUCUGUUAUUAGGGAAGAACAAAUGUGUAAGUAACUAUGCACGUAUUGACGGUACCGAAUCAGAAAGCCACGGCUAACUACGUG